rnacentral:lncRNA from 1 species
GCUUUAAACAUACCCCUGGUAUUUUACACUAAAUAUUUAUAUACAUGAAGCAAUGUUCUCAGCAUUGGUUAUAAAAUCACAGGGUAAUCAGCUCCGGAAAGGGUAAAGAUGCCCUACAUCUUGCAGGGUCGGAUACUCUGCCAGGGUUUAACGCUUACGUAGAACCAAGCCAGCACACCCAUCCCACUAGUGUGAAGAUUCACUUUCGUUUUUGAUAAGUGACAAAUACCAAAGAACUGUUUCGAAAUAAAUUUCUUUGUGGUUUAUUAUCAGUGAGGGUUGGAUUUGUAUAUCUGUAUUAUAUACCUAUACAAGUAAAUUUUCUUGGGCAAAAAGGAGUUGUAAAAAAGUAUAAGAAACCCCAAGUUAAAGAGUUUCUUCCCAGAGACUCUGUGGGACCCUAAUCCUUGGAACUUUUAAAUGCUCACUUAACAAUUUCCAGAGAACUAUGUCAUGACCACUCCUAGGCUUUUUGUGUGUGUCAACAGGGUGGAGAUGCAGACGGAAUCCACCCACCCGAUGGACUCUCUUGUGGCCAUCUAUCUGCCUCUGUUCCUAGAUCUGUUUCUGGUCCACUCAGCUCUCUACUGAUUUUUGGCCUUGGCCACUGUGAGACUGUAGACAGGUCAGCAGACAGCAGUGUGGGAAGAAGGCAGGCCAGAUGGGCUUCAUCUCUAGGAUAAAGGAGUUGGAAGUUUGGUGAAGUCACAGGGAAGACAGGAUCUCCAUUUCAGCCUUGGCAGAGAGGGAGAAGCCAUGCCACCUGUUGCCACAAGGAAGGUGCUGGGGAGAGAGGCGGCCAGCAGUCAUCCGCAGGCAGCCCACCAUGUAAAAGGCACAGCGUCCACUCUGCACGAUAUUUGUGAAAACGAUGCCCUACUGCUGAGGAUGGCGGUUUUUGCCUCCCACGCUGGGAAGCAGGUGCACACUUCAUGUCACACGGUUCAGGAGGCUGGGUAAGUUACACAGAGGAUCUGUCUAGCAUCUCAAUGUCACCAACUCCUAAAAGUGCAUUUGGCCCUGGUUGUUCUGAUCCGUCCAUUCCCCUUGAUGAGCUCAUGGAGUCUUUGGGAUGGGGGCUGUAGAUAUGUUGAUAUGUUGACAUAUCAACCUGGCCAGCCUCCGGUGCCCACAGACUCUCGUCAGAUGUCAGUAUGUCAACCUGGCCAGCCUCCGGUGCCCACAGACUCGUCAGAUGUCAGUACAGAUGUUGUUACAAAGGUAUUCUGAAGAUGAGGUUAUGUUUCAACACAGGAACUUAAAGU